GGUGAGGCUUUUUUGAGGUGGCUAGAUCAGGGUGUGGAUUAAGAGUAUAUAAACAUGGAUUUAAUAUGUUAUAAUUGUAUUAACCUGCUGGUUGAUUUAGAGUAGUUUUGGCUGUAGGUGCCACCAACCUAUAGGCUUACUGCAUCCAGCUUGCCCUGCCAUGGACUGUUUCUCAUCUGUAAUGCUCCUCUGCCGUGCUGCCCUACCUUGGAGCCAGCUGACUAUGGACUGAAACUUCUACAAACUGAGGAGUUCUCCACGGAUUGAUCUGCAGGCCGGAUCAAGUGGCGCCCAACAUGGGGCUCCUGGCAUGGAGGAGUUAACAAGGGAGCCGUUCUAGAGACAGCUGGCUUAAACUGAAAGUGAAAGCAAAUUGAACCAAAGACCGCGGCAAGGAGUGAGCAAACUGAAUCAAGGAUUAAAGCUUAAAGCAACAGGACAUUAAAUCAAGUACCAAGGCCUGUGCAGAUGACUACCCAACGUCCUGCCCGAGUCAUGGUGACACACUCCCUGGAGCCUUAUGCUGCCUAGUCAGCCUUCUCCUUGAGCCAUACCACACCCUUGGUGGAUUUUGACCCCUGCCAAACAGACUACAACUGCUGACAGCCAUACAUAGAAUCCCCUGUGACUGCGGAAGAGGCUCUUCUUGGUCUGGAGGAACAUAUACCAGCCAAACAGACUGCGUCCAAUGUUAUGCGAGGCAUGCUCCAAGACAUAGGAGAAUGACUUCGACAGAGACACCGACAAAUGGCAGUUAACCCCUUCUCCUCGAUGUGUGGGGAGGGGGGUGGAGUUUUUCCCUUACCUAGUGCCCCUUUUGGGUCCCCUAGCUGCCCUAUUGCUUCUCCUUUCUGUGAGUCCUUGUAUUUUUCAGAGGAUUAUGAUGCUCAUUAAUAACCAGAUAGAUGUGUUUAUGGCAAAGCCCAUUCAGGUACACUAUCAUCAGCUGGAGAUGGCAGAUCAACAAACCUACCAGGAAGGAAUUCCCACGAGUGGCCCAUAUGACGAUGCAGCGUAACUGCCCUGGGGCAAUGGACAGGCAGUCAGAGACGGGCAACAAGGACAUGCAUGUUAAUUCCAUCGGCCACCUAAGACAGGCACAGGACCAACUGCUGUUCUGCAAGCCCAUGACAGGUAAGGCCUGGUUGGGUUCAUGCAAUGAGGUCCUUGACCUAAGACAGACACUGUCCGGCAGGGCCUGCCAUACUCUUGAUUAAAUAAUAUAAAAAGGGAGGAAAUGUAGGGAGCCGAGUGACAGCCCAUUGCUGCCUCCCUGCCUCUCUCUCCUAUGGGAACUGAGUCUGCCUACUGUUGGGAGCCGCGGCCGAGCCUGGUCGCCUUACUUGGCGGACGUGAGGCCUGUAGAAAAGAGCAAAGCCCGAGCUAGAUUACCCCUCCCAUCGAGUGAGCCAAGUUAGCGCCUGCUUCCUGCCCCCUGAUUGCCCUGGCGACAUAAACAACCCGCUCUGUAAGAUAGUCUGCCUAGCAACAACUGAUGUUAGCCAAUCAGCCCGCAUCGCGCGCUUUGAACUGAUUGGCCACUGUUACCCUAUAAAAGUAAAUGCCUCUCCCGCCACGAGAAAGAAGCACGAGAGAGAUAGAGAAAGUCCACCGGCGAGAAAGGACUGGUGGCAGAGAGGAGGCCUCGCGGGGCCCACGCGGAGACAAAUAAAGGCAAGGUUGCACACCGCCAGACUUUGUCGUGUGUCUUUCCUGCCGGCCGGGAGCGACCCCGACAGCCUACAUUAACCAUAAUCCUCUCCUGCUUACGUCAUGUAUCCAGAUGUAAUGGUGACCCUGUUGUAUUCACCCCUUAACCUCUUCCUGUCCCACCUCCCGCCCUUGGCUUAUAAAAGAUGUGAUCAUUUCCUGAAUAAACGGAAGCUUGAUCGGA